rnacentral:sRNA from 1 species
ACAAGUAGACUGAGUAGAAGGGACGACUGGCUGAGAGUCGACCUGACCAGCAGAGUCGACGGCGUUCUCAUUGCCAAACAAGUUGAUAAAGUAGGUGUCAAGGUCAAAGCCAUCAGUCACCAGUAGUCUGGAGAAGACCCAUCGUGACACCGGCAAUCCUCCUCUGUCAAGAUCGGCCACGACGUACCAAUUAGAUCUGGACACAUCCAUAGCCACGUAUGUCGAAAAGCAAAAGCUGUCUACAUCAGCUUUUUUCGUUUUGCGGCUUUGAGGCUACAAUAUGAUUGGCGAUCAUCCAUGACGGAUGCUGAGUGAUGAGAAGCAGAUUUGAUUUACAAUAAUCAUUUUACUGAAACUAAACCUUUUUUUUUUACAACACCAGCUUCCCCUUGCCAAGGGACGAGGUCGAGCGUCCUGUGCAGACUCUGAAGUUGCAUUGCGCCCACUUUGAACGGAGAAUUUCCUCCAAAGUGGCUUCCGCUUUAGCUGACAAAACGGAACUCUCCAAAUUCUGAGAACUGAAAGCCUCUCGGUCUCUGCUGGCUCGUCCACACACCGAUAAAAAAAACUCUCUCAGGACGAAACCAAUUGGGCAAGCGAUAUUCGAGAUGCGGUAAGGUGCAGGACCAUCACGCCUUCUGGUGCAAAAGGCUACACAUGCGUGCCACAGCUCGGCUUGAACAUCGCGCAUGCUGUGGGUGAUGUUAUCUUUCUGCCAACUUCUCAAUUGGUGCAUUUCGCCUCUUCUUGGAAUUUGGACUCGAAAAGGAUUAUGACGAAGGAAGGGGGUAGAUGGAAAACAGAGAGGAGGACGAGAGGAAGACGGAGAAGUAGUUUUGGGGCGCUGAGGAGAGGGAGGAGGAAGAAGGCAAAAGAAAGAAUAGGGGAGUGUGCGAGGAGGCGUUACUAGGGAGGAGAGAGGUCCGAGCGGAGGGUAUAGGGAAAGUGUGAGAAAGAUGAGUCUGCUUGUGGAGCUGAGAAACAUAUCAAAGGCUUAGCCUUUAGAGCAGAUAAAUGUAUAGCUCAAGCAGCGUAGUCUUCUCAAACUCCAAUCUACCAGUCGCAUGGUCUACACUCAGCGCUUCUAGUUGAAUUGAGCACAAAACGACUUAAGGAUACGAAACUAUAGUAGCUUCAAGUGCUUCC